UUUUGAGAUAAUUAUAUGGUUUUUGUCCUUUGACUUAUUUCUAGUAUUAAGCAAUUAUUGCACUCCUGAAGUCAAUCCUACUUGAUUAUGGUAGAUGUUUGUUCCAGUUAGCUGCUUAAUUUGCUCUAUUCUUAUUUUAUUUAGUCCUUUCAAAUCUACAUUAAUAAGGUUGAUUUACAGCUUUUGUAUUUUGGACACUUUUUGGUCACUUUUGCUAUUUUUUCUUAUGCUAACUUCAUAAAAUGAACUGAAUUGCUUCCCAGUAAAACUGUCUGGUCCCAUACCUUUUAUUGGAGAAAAUUAGUUGAUAGCUUUAAAUUUCUUUCAAUUUUAUCAAUCUUUUCAUGUUUGAUAUUUUUCUUGAGUCAGUUUUGAUUAUAGAUAUUUUCUUGUUAAUGUUUUAUUUCACUGAGAUUUUGAAAUUUAUUUGCAUAAACAUGUAUGUAGUAAUUACCUAAUUUCAGAAAAAUUUCCAUUUCUUAUUUUUCAUUGUAAGGUUCUUCCUAUCCCCGGGGCUUAAAAAUGAUGCCAUAGAGGCAGGAUUGAAAGACUAUUUGAGAGACUGACGUUGGGCUCUACUCAUUUGCCCAUCUCUCAUCAUCUACAAACAAAUAUGUGAUAUGUGAAAGGGUAGAUUUUUAGUCACAAAUUAAGUUAUUAUAGAAAAGUAGGUAGUUGACAUCAUCAACUGUUUGUAGAUGAUGGCUCCUAUCUGCUGCUUGUGACACAGCUUGCUUUUCAUUAGAAAUAAUGACUUCUUUUCCAGGUAGCUCUCUAGUUCCUCCUAUAAAUAACACCCUGAUGGGUCUGUCCAGGCUGCAGGUCUCCAGACAGUCCCAGGUAAAAAGGGGGAACAGGCAUGGAAGGAGGAGAGACAAAGGCAAGGCGAUGGAAAUGGGAAAGUGCCAUGAUCCACUGGGGCAAUGGCAAGGAGGAAACAUAAGCACAGGUCAGACUGAGACAGAUGUUCGUGGCCUGCAAGGCAGGAUUCAUCUUUUAACAUCUGCAAUUCAAGGAAGUCUUUGCAUGCUGUGGAACCCCUAGAUCCUCCCUGGAAGUUCCGGAUUUGCUCCAGUAAUAAGAAGUCAAGAGUCAAACGGGUAGCUUUUGUAUGCCUAUUCCUGUUUUAAUUAGUGUAGUUCUUUUAUCUGUUUUAUACAGUGGGCUUCUGUAUCAUUUUUCAUUUCAAAAAAUAGCUGCAUAGCUUUUACAAAAUAAACAACAAGGGAUUAGAUGAUUUCUAAGAUUUAUCCUGGAUCAAAUAUAGGUUCCCUUCACUACUUAUAUUCUCCUUUCUGAAUUUACUAUCUGAAUACAUUCAGAU
rnacentral:lncRNA from 1 species